UUUCAGAACAACCUCACCCAUGCAUGUUCCAAAAUAUCAACAAUCCUAUGAGAAACAGAUGUCUCAAAAAGAGGAGGGAGGGAGUUGUCCUUCUCCCAGGGGCCCCUUUUCUGGCACCCAGGAGAGAGUCCUCCACCGCCUCCCUGCCAGACAAAAGGCGUGUGCCACCGGCUGCUUGGUGGUCGGGGCCGCCGAGCCUCGCGACCCUGGAAAGGUGGCCAGGAGCACUGAGCCAGCCAGGGCGUGAGAGGAACGAUCCCAAGACGAGUGUUCAGGGGGCUCAGUGGGGGUCUCCCUUCCUCCCCAUGUUUAUCAUCCGCAGUGCCCGCUUCCGUAUUUCUUUGGUCCUCGCCCCAUAGACGAGGGGGUUGAGCACGGGGGGCACCAGGAGGUAGACGUUGCUCAUGGUGACCUGGACCAGCCGCGGCAGGUUCCUCCCAAACCUGUGCACCACGGAGAGGCCAAUCAGGGGCACGUAGAAGGCCAGCACCACGCAGAUGUGGGCCACGCACGUCCCGGCGGCCCGGAGCCGCUCCUCCCUCGACGGCAGCCGCAGGACGCUCCGGAUGAUCAUCGCGUAGGACACGAAGAUGAGCAGGGAGUCCAGGCCCAUCACCAGCAGGAUGGCCGUCAGCCCGUACACCACGUUGGGCGUCACGUUGCCCGAGCCCAGGUGCAUCACGUCCUGGUGGAGGCAGUAGGAGUGCGUGAGGUUGGCGGGGCUGCAGAAGGCGAGGCGGUGGAUGAGCAGGGGCAGCGGGAGGAAGAAGCCCACCCCUCUCGCCACGGCCAGCAGGCCCACCUUCGCCAUCACCGGGCGGGUGAGGACGGCGGAGUGCUGCAGCGGGUGGCAGAUGGCCACAUACCGGUCCACGGCCAUGGCCAGGAGGACGGUGGACUGGAUGCCCGACAGGGAGUGGAUGAAGAACAUCUGGCUCAGGCAGGCGCCGUAGCCGAUCUCCCGGGCGUCGAACCAGAGCAGGGCGAGCAUCUUGGGCAUGGUGCAGGUGGAGAGGGCCAGGUCCACCGCCGCCAGCAUGCAGAGGAGGAGGUUCAUGGGCGCGUGCAGGGCCGGCUCGGCCCUGACGACGAGCGCGAUGGUCGCGUUGCCCACCAGGGCCACCAGGUACAUGGCGCACAGCGGGAAGGCCAGCCAGAAGUGGGCCGCUUCCAUGUCGGGCAGGCCC
rnacentral:lncRNA from 1 species